rnacentral:tRNA from 1 species
GACCGCGUAGCUCAGUUGGAAGAGCAAUGGGCUAGUAUUCCAAAGGUCGUAAGUUCGAUUCCCACCGUGGUCA